rnacentral:ncRNA from 1 species
AAUCACGAGAUCCGGUGCUAAGCCCUGGCUGGCCGGACGGCAACCCUCUCACCGUAGUGGGGUGCUCCAGGUGAUGAUUCGGCCUCCGGGGACCACCGCGGGGCAAGUACGGCAC